GAUGACUGCCUGUUUUGGACACUUAGAAUUCUUAUAUGGAGAAGGUAAUCCUGAUAAUCCUGUUGCCUUGGACAGAAGCAUGAAACAUUAUUUGGGGCUAUCAACCUUUGCAGUACAUGUGUUAUCUUAUGAAGUGCUUUGGGAAGCUGUGUGGC